rnacentral:rRNA from 1 species
GGCUCAGAUUGAACGCUGGCGGCAGGCCUAACACAUGCAAGUCGAGCGGUAGAGAGGUGCUUGCAUCUCUUGAGAGCGGCGGACGGGUGAGUAAUGCCUAGGAAUCUGCCUAGUGGUGGGGGGAUAACGUUCGGAAACGGACGCUAAUACCGCAUACGUCCUACGGGAGAAAGCGGGGGGAUCUUCGGACCUCGCGCCAUUAGAUGAGCCUAGGUCGGAUUAGCUAGUUGGUAAGGUAAUGGCUCACCAAGGCGACGAUCCGUAACUGGUCUGAGAGGAUGAUCAGUCACACUGGAACUGAGACACGGUCCAGACUCCUACGGGAGGCAGCAGUGGGGAAUAUUGGACAAUGGGCGAAAGCCUGAUCCAGCCAUGCCGCGUGUGUGAAGAAGGUCUUCGGAUUGUAAAGCACUUUAAGUUGGGAGGAAGGGUAGUAACCUAAUACGUUGCUACUUUGACGUUACCGACAGAAUAAGCACCGGCUAACUUCGUG